UGAAGAGAAUUCUAUUGAAAUGACGUACUUGGGUAUCUGGAUCCGUAUCAACAUGCAUCAUGGGCUAAAUAAUCCGUAUUAAUGCCAAUUAAAUCAUGAGGGGGGAAUCCACACCUCAUGAACCACGCUCUAAUCAAUAUGGUGCUAAGGGUUUAUCGUGCCAAAUAAUAAUAACCUUAUACUAGAGAGCCGGUGUAACCAAGGCGGUAUCUAGACAAGAUUAGUAUUAUUUGUCGACGAGAAGUCAAAACAUCCACAAAAAUUAGAGGGGAAGAGAAAGUAAAUUUACCAAAUUAAGCCCAUGACACAUGUUGAGACUUCACCUUCAACCCAAGCUUGAAAGAAAAUUAGCCACUCAUAAUUGAACUAGGGGCAAAAUGGGAAUUUAUUAAAAUACGAAGAAAAUACAAGAUGGAGAAGGAAUUACAGAAAAUGGAUCCCAAAAAUGGAUUCAGAGAUAUCAAAUUAGGGGGGGAUGCCCCCUUUUUAUAGAUACAUGGAGUAAAUCAUGGCCAUCGGAUUAAAAACAGUUUGGACGCUCAGGAUUGCGCCACGUCAUCAGUCAACAGUCCACGGUUUGACCACGCGGAUGAACAGUAACACGGUUUGACCCGACUUUGAACAGUAACGCGGUUUGACCCGGAUGAACAGUAACGCGGUUUGGUUGAAAAUAAUCCUGUGUGAUGCAUGCACCGUACGCGAGAUUUUUCGUCCACUGAUAUGCUGCCACGUCACCAUCAACAGUACAUAAGAAUUUUAGUCCAACAGGAUCGUGACACCUCAUCAGUCAAUGCCACAUCAUCGGUCAAUGCCACGUCAUCAUCCGUUUAUGUGAACAGUGUCGUGAACAGUAACGUAUACAGUACCAUACACGUGAAUAGCACUGUACAUGUGAAUAGUGCCAUUUUUCCUUUUAUGCUCCUCCUAAGGUUUUCGACCGUCCUGAGUUCAAAAGUGAUGUCCGUUUUGCCGUCUGAUCUCUCCUUUAUUGUGAAAUGACUAUAAUGCCCCUAAAAUACAUA
rnacentral:lncRNA from 1 species